rnacentral:rRNA from 1 species
AACGUAGGGUGCAAGCGUUGUCCGGAAUUACUGGGUGUAAAGGGAGCGCAGGCGGAAAGGCAAGUUGGGAGUGAAAGGUUUGGGCUUAACCCAGACACUGCUUUCAAAACUGUUUUUCUUGAGUGGUGUAGAGGUAGGCGGAAUUCCCGGUGUAGCGGUGGAAUGCGUAGAUAUCGGGAGGAACACCAGUGGCGAAGGCGGCCUACUGGGCACUAACUGACGCUGAGGCUCGAAAGUAUGGGUAGCAA